rnacentral:rRNA from 1 species
AGAGAGAGACAUGCGCGCAUAUCAAUAAGCGGAGGAAAAGAAACUAACUAGGAUUCCCUCAGUAACGGCGAGUGAAGCGGGAAGAGCUCAAAUUUGAAAUCUUCAAGGUUCUACCUUGACGAAUUGUAGUUUAAAGAAGUGUUUUCUGUUGAAGUUUUGGUAAAAGUUCUUUGGAAUAGGACAUCAUAGAGGGUGAGAAUCCCGUAUUUGACCAUUAUUUCCAGCUGUGUGAUACACUUUCAAAGAGUCGGAUUGUUUGGGAAUGCAGUCCAAAAUGGGUGGUAAAUUUCAUCUAAAGCUAAAUACUGGCGAGAGACCGAUAGCGAACAAGUACCGUGAGGGAAAGAUGAAAAGAACUUUGAAAAGAGAGUUAAACAGUACGUGAAAUUGUCAAAAGGGAAGCGUUUGACACCAGUGUUGUUUUCUCGAAAAUCAAUUAAAAAAGGCAGGAUUUUGUGUUGUAUUUGACUUUAUCAGCUUUCUGCACUCUUUUCUUGUCUUUUUUAAUGCACUUUUCGUUUAACAAGUCAACAUCAAUUUCUUUUGUUGUAAAAGGGUCAUUGGAAGGUGGCUUUCUUUUCGGAGAAAGUGUUUAUAGCCUUUGCCUCUGCAAUCGGAGAGAUUGAGGUCUGCAGCGUAGAUCCUUCGGGGUUAGAUACAUUUGUGCUAAGUUAUAGCCUUUUCAUAGACAACUUGUUGACUAUGAUCAGUCAUGUAGCUUACUCGCUUAUGCUAUUUUACCUACGCUUAGGAUGUUGAUGUGAUACUGCGAGCA